rnacentral:rRNA from 1 species
GACGAACGCUGGCGGCGUGCCUAAUACAUGCAAGUAGAACGCUGAAGAAAGGAGCUUGCUUCUUUUGGAUGAGUUGCGAACGGGUGAGUAACGCGUAGGUAACCUGCCUUGUAGCGGGGGAUAACUAUUGGAAACGAUAGCUAAUACCGCAUAACAGCUUUUGACACAUGUUAGAAGCUUGAAAGAUGCAAUUGCAUCACUACGAGAUGGACCUGCGUUGUAUUAGCUAGUAGGUAGGGUAACGGCCUACCUAGGCGACGAUACAUAGCCGACCUGAGAGGGUGAUCGGCCACACUGGGACUGAGACACGGCCCAGACUCCUACGGGAGGCAGCAGUAGGGAAUCUUCCGCAAUGGGCGAAAGCCUGACGGAGCAACGCCGCGUGAGUGAUGACGGCCUCGGUUGUAAAGGACUCUGUGAUCGGGGACGGAACGGU